GGGGGGGGGGGGGGGGGGGGGGGGGGGGGGGGGGGGGGGGGGGGGGGGAGGGGGGGGGGGGGGUGGGGGGGGGGGGGUGGCGGGCGGGUGAGGAGGGCAGCGGGGUCUGCGGUUUGGGGGGUGGGACGGUAGGGGGGCGGGCGCUGCUGCCGCAUACGAGCUACGGGUGGGAGCGGGGGAGCUUCGGACCUGGCGCGGGGGAAUGAGCCGCGGUCGGGUUGGCUAGUUGGCGGGGGAAAGGCCCACCACGGCGACGAUCCGUAGCUGGGCUGAGAGGAUGAGCAGCCACACUGGAACUGAGACACGGUCCAGACUCCUACGGGAGGCAGCAGUGGGGAAUAUUGGACAAUGGGCGCAAGCCUGAUCCAGCCAUACCGCGUGGGUGAAGAAGGCCUUCGGGUUGUAAAGCCCUUUUGUUGGGAAAGAAAAGCAGCAGGUUAAUACCCCGCUGUUCUGACGGUACCCAAAGAAUAAGCACCGGCUAACUUCGUG
rnacentral:rRNA from 1 species